UCCCUGAUGGACUAGUGGUUAGGCCAUAGCACUUUCAGUACUAUGGCGUGGGUUCGAUUCCCGGCCAGAAG